rnacentral:rRNA from 1 species
AUGGGAACUAUCUCGAUAGAGAUGAUGAGAGGUCGAACUGCUGCUUCGUAUAGGAUCUGUCUCUUUGUCUAAACACAGAGAGGGUAAGGGGUGGGAAAGACGGGCGCCAGCCGCCGCGGUAAUACCUGCAGCUCAAGUGGUGGCCGCUAUUAUUGGGCCUAAAACGUUCGUAGCCGGUUUAGUAAAUGCUUGGGUAAAUUGUGUCGCUUAACGAUACGAAUACCGGGUAGACUGCUAAACUUGGGACCGGGAGAGGUUAGAGGUACUCCUGGGGUAGAGGUGAAAUUCUGUAAUCCUGGGGGGACCACCAGUGGCGAAGGCGUCUAACCAGAACGGGUCUGACGGUGAGGGACGAAGCCCUGGGGCGCAAACCGGAUUAGAUACCCGGGUAGUCCAGGGGGUAAACGCUGCUCGCUUGAUGUUAGUUGGGCUCGGAGCCCACUUAGGGUCGGAGAGAAGUUGUUAAGCGAGCUGCCUGGGAGUAACGUCGGAAGGCUUGAACCUUAAAGGAAUUGGGGGGGGAGCCGGCACCGGUGGGAGCGGGCGUUUUAUUUGAUUCACCGCCGGAAACUCACGGGGGCAACGUUUCCUGAAAGCCAGGCUGAUGACCUGGCGAAUUUCGGAAAUGGGUCAUGGCCGUCGUCAUUCGUACGUGAGCGUCUGUAAGUCAGAAACGACGAAACCCUAUCUUUAGUGCACUGGUAGUCCGCUUAUAGCACAUAAAGAACCGCUGGCGUAGUAGAGAAGCAGGCAACGGUAGGUCAGUUCCCCGAUCCCCGGGCUACCGGCGCUACAAGGCUAGGAAAUGGGUUCUACCCGAAGGUGACGUAUCCCGAACCUAGUCGAGUCCGAUUGAGAUGCACUAUCUCAUGAGCUGAUCCGAGAUCCAUCAAUCUGCGGAAUGCCUGCUGCAACAGGGAUCCUAACUCGACUGCCUAGAGUACGCUGGCACCGCACGCGUUUCAGAA